rnacentral:rRNA from 1 species
GUAUUGGUUUUCGGACCAAGAGACCGGCGCACGGGUGCGUAACGCGUAAGUAAUCUACCCUCGGGUGGGGAAUAACGUUCGGAAACGGACGCUAAUACCGCAUAAUGCAGCGGCACCGCAAGGUGACAGUUGUUAAAGAUUUAUUGCCUGGGGAGGAGCUUGUGGCAGAUUAGCUUGUUGGUAAGGUAACGGCUUACCAAGGCUACGAUCUGUAUCCGGUCUAAGAGGACGGUCGGACACACUGACACUGAAUAACGGGUCAGACUCCUACGGGAGGCAGCAGUCGGGAAUUUUGGGCAAUGGGGGAAACCCUGACCCAGCAACGCCGCGUGAAGGAUGAAGUAUUUCGGUAUGUAAACUUCGAAAGAAUAGGAAGAAUUAAUGACGGUACUAUUUAUAAGGUCCGGCUAACUACGUGCCAGCAGCCGCGGUAAUACGUAGGGACCAAGCGUUGUUCGGAUUUACUGGGCGUAAAGGGCGCGUAGGCGGCGCGGUAAGUCACUUGUGAAAUCUCUGAGCUUAACUCAGAACGGCCAAGUGAUACUGCAGUGCUAGAGUGUGGAAGGGGCAAUCGGAAUUCUUGGUGUAGCGGUGAAAUGCGUAGAUAUCAAGAGGAACACCUGAGGUGAAGACGGGUUGCUGGGCCAACACUGWCGCUGAGGCGCGAAAGCCAGGGGGAGCAAACGGGAUUAGAUACKCCGGUAGUYCYUGGCCCUAAACGAURAAUACUUGGUGUCUGGAGUUUUAAUGYUCCSGGUGCCGUYSCUWACSUUUUAGUAUUCCSGCCUGGGGAGUACGCUCGCAARAGUGAAACUCMAAGGAAAUUGACGGGGACCCCGYACAAGCGGUGGAGC